CGGCUCUUUCCCCUCUCGCCGUGGCAUCUCCUUAUGCUUACUCCGUCUUUCGGACAACAUGGCUAGAUGCUUCUUCCCUUAACUCCGCCACCCGAAGCAUCUGCUCGGUUAUAUCUUCCCUCUGCUUUAACAGGACCUCCAAGGCUUUAUCUGCUUCGUCUGCCAUCUUCGCCAACUUGGCAGCUAUGUCUUCCUGACCACUUCAGCGAUGAGUCCUAGUCGGUGAGCCCUCUGCUCGCCCCCGACCACGAUCAUGCCCUUUAUCAGCAUCAAAGACCAACCUCCGUCUGGCUCCACCGUGG
rnacentral:lncRNA from 1 species